rnacentral:rRNA from 1 species
AUUGAACGCUGGCGGCAGGCCUAACACAUGCAAGUCGAGCGGAGCGACGGCCGGGUGAGUAAUGCCUAGGAAUCUGCCUGGUAGUGGAGGAUAACGUCCGGCAACGGGCGCUAAUACCGCAUCCUAUCAGCAGGGCCUAGGUCGGAUUAGCUAGUUGGUGGGGUAAAGGCCUACAAAGGCGACGCUCCGUAACUGGUGUGAGAGGAUGAUCAGUCACACUGGAACUGAGACACGGUCCAGAUUACUACGGGAGGCAGCAGUGGGGAAUAUUGGACAAUGGGCGAAAGCCUGAUCCAGCCAUGCCGCGUGUGUGAAGAAGGUCUUCGGAUUGGAAAGCACUUUAAGUUGGGAGGCGUUACCAACAGAAUAAGCACCGGCUAACUUCGUGCCAGCAGCCGCGGUAAUAC